AACGAACGCUGGCGGCAGGCUUAACGCAUGCAAGUCGAACGGUUGUAGCAAUACAGCAGUGGCGCACGGGUGAGUAACGCGUGGAUAUCUGCCGUUUGGUUCGGAAUAACUCCGGGAAACUGGAGCUAAUACCGGAUGGUUCCUACGGGGUAAAGAUUUAUCGCCAAAAGAUGAGUCAGCGUACGAAUAGCUAGUUGGCGGGGUAAUGGCCCACCAAGGCGACGAUCGUUAGCUGGUCUGGGAGGACGAUCAGCCACACUGGGAGUGAGACACGGCCCAGACUCCUACGGGAGGCAGCAGUGGGGAAUAUUGGACAAUGGGGGCAACCCUGAUCCAGCCAUGCCGCGUGAGUGAUGAAGGCCUUCGGGUUGUAAAGCUCUUUUGGCGGAGACGAUGAUGACGGUACCUGCAGAAUAAGCCCCGGCUAACUUCGUGCCAGCAGCCGCGGUAACAC
rnacentral:rRNA from 1 species